rnacentral:rRNA from 1 species
AACCUGCCUUCAGAGGGGACAACAGUGGAACGACUGCUAAUACCGCAUAACACAUAGGUGUCGCAUGGCAUUUAUGUCAAAGAUUUAUCGCUGAAAGAUGGCCUCGCGUCUGAUUAGCUAGUUGGUGAGGUAACGGCUCACCAAGGCGACGAUCAGUAGCCGGACUGAGAGGUUGGCCGGCCACAUUGGGACUGAGAUACGGCCCAGACUCCUACGGGAGGCAGCAG